rnacentral:rRNA from 1 species
CCUACGGGAGGCAGCAGUGGGGAAUAUUGGACAAUGGGCGAAAGCCUGAUCCAGCAAUGCCGCGUGAGUGAAGAAGGCCUUCGGGUUGUAAAGCUCUUUUACCCGGGAAGAUAAUGACUGUACCGGGAGAAUAAGCCCGGCUAACUCCGUGCCAGCAGCCGCGGUAAUACGGAGGGGCUAGCGUUGUUCGGAAUUACUGGGCGUAAAGCGUACGUAGGCGGCUUUGUAAGUCAGAGGUGAAAGCCCACGACUCAAUCGUGGAACUGCCUUUGAGACUGCUUCGCUUGAAGAUGGGAGAGGUUAGUGGAAUUCCGAGUGUAGAGGUGAAAUUCGUAGAUAUUCGGAAGAACACCAGUGGCGAAGGCGGCUAACUGGACCAUUCUUGACGCUGAGGUACGAAAGCGUGGGGAGCAAACAGGAUUAGAUACCCUGGUAGUCCACGCCGUAAACGAUGAUAACUAGCUGUCGGGGCUCUUGGAGCUUCGGUGGCGCAGCUAACGCAUUAAGUUAUCGCCUGGGGAGUACGCGCAGUAAACUACAAGAAUAGACGCGUGAGACGNGCGACGGACGACGACGAGGGAGUAG